GUAAGGAAUAUUGGUCAAUGGACGCAAGUCUGAACCAGCCAUGCCGCGUGGAGGAUUAAGGCCCUCUGGGUUGUAAACUCCUUUUAUCUGGGAAGAAAUCCAAGUAUUCUUAUUUGGUUGACGGUACCAGAGGAAUAAGCACCGGCUAACUCCGUGCCAGCAGCCGCGGUAAUACGGAGGGUGCAAGCGUUAUCCGGAUUCACUGGGUUUAAAGGGUGCGUAGGCGGGCAGGUAAGUCCGUGGUGAAAUCUCUGAGCUUAACUCAGAAACUGCCAUGGAUACUAUUUGUCUUGAAUGUUGUGGAGGUAAGCGGAAUAUGUCAUGUAGCGGUGAAAUGCUUAGAUAUGACAUAGAACACCAAUUGCGAAGGCAGCUUACUACACAAAUAUUGACGCUGAGGCACGAAAGCGUGGGGAUCAAACAGGAUUAGAAACCCCGGUAGUCC
rnacentral:rRNA from 1 species